CCAGCUCUCCGAGUAGUGUGGACGUUUAUUGGGCCUAAAGCAUCCGUAGCUUGCUAGAUAAGUCCUCUGUUAAAUCCACCGAUUCAAUCGUUGGAUUGCGGGGGAUACUGUUUGGCUAGGGGACGGGAGAGGUCGACGGUACUUCUGGGGUAGGGGUGAAAUCCUAUAAUCCCGGGAGGACCACCAGUGGCGAAGG
rnacentral:rRNA from 1 species